rnacentral:rRNA from 1 species
AGAGUUUGAUCCUGGCUCAGGACGAACGCUGGCGGCGUGCUUAACACAUGCAAGUCGAGCGAUGAAGCUUCCUUCGGGAAGUGGAUUAGCGGCGGACGGGUGAGUAACACGUGGGUAACCUGCCUCAAAGUGGGGAUAGCCUUCCGAAAGGAAGAUUAAUACCGCAUAAUAUAAGAGAAUCGCAUGAUUUUCUUAUCAAAGAUUUAUUGCUUUGAGAUGGACCCGCGGCGCAUUAGCUAGUUGGUAAGGUAACGGCUUACCAAGGCAACGAUGCGUAGCCGACCUGAGAGGGUGAUCGGCCACAUUGGAACUGAGACACGGUCCAGACUCCUACGGGAGGCAGCAGUGGGAAUAUUGCGCAAUGGGGAAACCCUGACGCAGCAACGCCGCGUGGGUGAUGAAGGUCUUCGGAUUGUAAAGCCCUGUUUUCUAGGACGAUAAUGACGGUACUAGAGGAGGAAGCCACGGCUAACUACGUGCCAGCAGCCGCGGUAAUACGUAGGUGGCGAGCGUUGUCCGGAUUUACUGGGCGUAAAGGGUGCGUAGGCGGAUGUUUAAGUGGGAUGUGAAAUCCCCGGGCUUAACCUGGGGGCUGCAUUCCAAACUGGAUAUCUAGAGUGCAGGAGAGGAAAGCGGAAUUCCUAGUGUAGCGGUGAAAUGCGUAGAGAUUAGGAAGAACACCAGUGGCGAAGGCGGCUUUCUGGACUGUAACUGACGCUGAGGCACGAAAGCGUGGGUAGCAAACAGGAUUAGAUACCCUGGUAGUCCACGCCGUAAACGAUGGAUACUAGGUGUAGGGGGUAUCAACUCCCCCUGUGCCGCAGUUAACACAAUAAGUAUCCCGCCUGGGGAGUACGGUCGCAAGAUUAAAACUCAAAGGAAUUGACGGGGGCCCGCACAAGCAGCGGAGCAUGUGGUUUAAUUCGAAGCAACGCGAAGAACCUUACCUGGACUUGACAUCCCUUGCAUAGCCUAGAGAUAGGUGAAGCCCUUCGGGGCAAGGAGACAGGUGGUGCAUGGUUGUCGUCAGCUCGUGUCGUGAGAUGUUAGGUUAAGUCCUGCAACGAGCGCAACCCUUGUUAUUAGUUGCUACCAUUAAGUUGAGCACUCUAAUGAGACUGCCUGGGUAACCAGGAGGAAGGUGGGGAUGACGUCAAAUCAUCAUGCCCCUUAUGUCCAGGGCUACACACGUGCUACAAUGGUAGGUACAAUAAGACGCAAGACCGUGAGGUGGAGCAAAACUUAUAAAACCUAUCUCAGUUCGGAUUGUAGGCUGCAACUCGCCUACAUGAAGCUGGAGUUGCUAGUAAUCGCGAAUCAGAAUGUCGCGGUGAAUACGUUCCCGGGCCUUGUACACACCGCCCGUCACACCAUGAGAGCUGGUAACACCCGAAGUCCGUGAGGUAACCGUAAGGAGCCAGCGGCCGAAGGUGGGAUUAGUGAUUGGGGUGAAGUCGUAACAAGGUAGCCGUAGGAGAACCUGCGGCUG